GACGAACGCUGGCGGCGUGCUUAACACAUGCAAGUCGAACGGAAAGGCCCCUUUGGGGGUCCUCGAGUGGCGAACGGGUGAGUAACACGUGAGUAACCUGCCCUUGACUUCGGGAUAACUUCAGGAAACUGGGGCUAAUACCGGAUAGGAAUCCUUGCUGCAUGGUGGGGGUUGGAAAGCUUCGGCGGUUUUGGAUGGACUCGCGGCUUAUCAGCUUGUUGGUGGGGUAGUGGCUUACCAAGGCUUUGACGGGUAGCCGGCCUGAGAGGGCGACCGGCCACAUUGGGACUGAGGUACGGCCCAGACUCCUACGGGAGGCAGCAGUGGGGAAUAUUGCACCAUGGGCGGGAGCCUGAUGCAGCAACGCCGCGUGCGGGAUGACGGCCUUCGGGUUGUAAACCGCUUUCAGCAGGGGCGAAGCUUGUGGUGACGGUACCUGCAGAAGAAGCACCGGCUAACUACGUG
rnacentral:rRNA from 1 species